UUAUAAGAGACAGCAGCAGCCGCGGGAAUACAGAGGGUGCGAGCGUUAAUCGGAUUUACUGGGCGUAAAGCGUGCGUAGGCGGCUUUUUAAGUCGGAUGUGAAAUCCCUGAGCUUAACUUAGGAAUUGCAUUCGAUACUGGGAAGCUAGAGUAUGGGAGAGGAUGGUAGAAUUCCAGGUGUAGCGGUGAAAUGCGUAGAGAUCUGGAGGAAUACCGAUGGCGAAGGCAGCCAUCUGGCCUAAUACUGACGCUGAGGUACGAAAGCAUGGGGAGCAAACAGGAUUAGAUACCCGUGUAGUCCCUGUCUCUUAUAC
rnacentral:rRNA from 1 species